rnacentral:tRNA from 1 species
GGGCUUGUAGCUCAGCGGAUAGAGCGUCUGCCUCCGGAGCAGAAGGCCGUGGGUUCGAAUCCCAUCAAGCCCACAA